rnacentral:rRNA from 1 species
CCUACGGGCGGCAGCAGUGAGGAAUAUUGGUCAAUGGGCUUACGCCUGAACCAGCCAAGUCGCGUGAGGGAAGACUGCCCUAUGGGUUGUAAACCUCUUUUGUCAGGGAGCAACGCCGGCUACGUGUAGCCGGACUGAGAGUACCUGAAGAAAAAGCAUCGGCUAACUCCGUGCCAGCAGCCGCGGUAAUACGGAGGAUGCGAGCGUUAUCCGGAUUUAUUGGGUUUAAAGGGUGCGUAGGCGGAAUGCCAAGUCAGCGGGAAAAUCGCGGGGCUCAACCUCGCUCCGCCGUUGAAACUGGCGUUCUUGAGUGGGCGAGAAGUAUGCGGAAUGCGUGGUGUAGCGGUGAAAUGCAUAGAUAUCACGCAGAACUCCGAUUGCGAAGGCAGCAUACCGGCGCCCAACUGACGCUGAAGCACGAAAGCGUGGGUAUCGAACAGGAUUAGAUACCCGGGUAGUC